rnacentral:snRNA from 1 species
UCUGUUCUAAUCAGUGUGAAAACUGGUUUCCGACGUUUUUCGUUGGUCUUUUUCACAUUCAUUUUUGGAACUUCCGAGAAUGCUAGCUUGCUAGGUUUUCUUGGAACGGUCUCCGGGGGCUUUCACUAUCUCCCCCGCGAGGCCA